GAUGAAGAACGUAGUGAAAUGCGAUACGUAAUGUGAAUUGCAGAAUUCAGUGAAUCAUCGAAUCUUUGAACGCAUAUUGCGCUCUCUGGUAUUCCGGAGAGCAUGCUUGUUUGAGUAUCAGUAAACACCUCAACUUCCAUAUCUUUUUUGAAAUGGGAGUUGGACUUGAGUGAUCCCAACGCUUUUCCUCACCGAAAAGUGGCGGGUUACUUGAAAUGCAGGUGCAGCUGGACUUUUCUCUGAGCUAUAAGCAUAUCUAUUUAGUCUGCCUAAAAAACAGAUUAUUACCUUUGCUGCAGCUAACAUAAAGGAGAUUAGUUCUUGUGCUGACUGAUGCAGGAUUCACAAAGACGGCUUCGGCCGACUUUGUAAACUCGAUCUCAAAUCAAGUAAGACUACCCGCUGAACUUAAGCAUAUCAUAAGCGGAGGA
rnacentral:misc_RNA from 1 species